UAGGGAAUCUUCGGCAAUGGGGGCAAACCCUGACCGAGCAACGCCGCGUGAGUGAAGAAGAUUUUCGGAUCGUAAAGCUCUGUUGUAAGAGAAGAACGUGUGUGAGAGUGGAAAGUUCACACAGUGACGGUAACUUACCAGAAAGGGACGGCUAACUACGUGCCAG
rnacentral:rRNA from 1 species